rnacentral:rRNA from 1 species
AGUGAACGCUGGCGGUAGGCCUAACACAUGCAAGUCGAACGGCAGCACAGGAGAGCUUGCUCUCUGGGUGGCGAGUGGCGGACGGGUGAGGAAUACAUCGGAAUCUGCCCAGUCGUGGGGGAUAACGUAGGGAAACUUACGCUAAUACCGCAUACGACCUUCGGGUGAAAGAGGGGGAUCGCAAGACCUCUCGCGAUUGGAUGAGCCGAUGUCGGAUUAGCUAGUUGGCGGGGUAAUGGCCCACCAAGGCGACGAUCCGUAGCUGGUCUGAGAGGAUGAUCAGCCACACUGGAACUGAGACACGGUCCAGACUCCUACGGGAGGCAGCAGUGGGGAAUAUUGGACAAUGGGCGCAAGCCUGAUCCAGCCAUACCGCGUGGGUGGAGAAGGCCUUCGGGUUGUAAAGCCCUUUUGUUGGGAAAGAAAUCUUUCAGGCUAAUACCCUGGGAGGAUGACGGUACCCAAAGAAUAAGCACCGGCUAACUUCGUG